UUGCAUUUUAAUCCAUGAGGGUUUUGGCAUAAAAAGGGAUUUAAUUCAUAUAUUAAGCUAUCCCAUAAUUUGGCUUUUGAAAUUGUUUUGAAAAACAAUUUGUUUUGAUAGUCUAAAAGGCCCUAAAGGCUAUUUUAUAGGCAAAAGUAUUUUUAAAUAUUUUAUUUUGAGGAAAUUAUUGUCCCAAAAGUUAGAUCAUAUGAAGAUAUGAUUUUACAAAUUUUGUUGCAAUUUAUUUGGAGUGAUUUGGAGCCUUGAAUCAAAUUUGGGGUUCAAAAACAGAAAAUAGGAAAAGAAAAAGGAAAGAAGAAGAAAAAAAAGAAAAACCGAGGCUGGCCCGGCGAAAUGGGCCGAACCGGCCUGUUAACCGCCCGCGCCGGCCGAACUAAUCCCGGCCCCGCCGCGCACCCGAUUUGGCCCCACCUGUCAUCUUCUUCUUCCUCCAACCGCCUCUGUUUUCCCCGGCCGCGACGCGCACGACGCCCCCUCCGCGUCCGACUCGCCCACGACCCCAUCCUCCCCACCCUCCGCGUCACUUUACAGCCCUCGCCCGCUGCAGCAGUUUCCCCCUCUCGCCCGACCAAAAUCUCGCCGCCAGGCUUUGUCGCCGGAAUCCCGCGGAUGCAGCCGCCGUUCUUCGUCGAUGCCGGUUAACCGAUGAGCGAAAAGCCCCAAUUGGUUGCUACCC
rnacentral:lncRNA from 1 species